rnacentral:rRNA from 1 species
UACAGAGGGGCAAGCGUUAUUCGGAAUUAUUGGGCGUAAAGGGCGCGUAGGCGGCUUGGCAAGUGGAUGGUGAAAUCCCUCGGCUUAACCGAGGAACUGCCAUCCAGACUGCUUUGCUUGGGGCCGGGAGAGGUGAGUGGAAUUCCCAGUGUAGCGGUGAAAUGCGUAGAUAUUGGGAGGAACACCAGUGGCGAAGGCGACUACCUGGCCUGUUCUUGACGCUGAGGCGCGAAAGCUAGGGAGCAAACGGG